AUUGAACGCUGGCGGCAUGCCUUACACAUGCAAGUCGAACGGCAGCACGGGUGCUUGCACCUGGUGGCGAGUGGCGAACGGGUGAGUAAUACAUCGGAACAUGUCCUGUAGUGGGGGAUAGCCCGGCGAAAGCCGGAUUAAUACCGCAUACGAUCUACGGAUGACAGCGGGGGACCUUCGGGCCUCGCGCUAUAGGGUUGGCCGAUGGCUGAUUAGCUAGUUGGUGGGGUAAAGGCCUACCAAGGCGACGAUCAGUAGCUGGUCUGAGAGGACGACCAGCCACACUGGGACUGGGACACGGCCCAUACUCCUACGGGAGGCAGCAGUGGGGAAUUUUGGACAAUGGGCGAAAGCCUGAUCCAGCAAUGCCGCGUGUGUGAAGAAGGCCUUCGGGUUGUAAAGCACUUUUGUCCGGAAAGAAAUCCUUGGCCCUAAUACGGUCGGGGGAUGACGGUACCGGAAGAAUAAGCACCGGCUAACUACGUG
rnacentral:rRNA from 1 species